rnacentral:lncRNA from 1 species
UCCUUCUUUGAGCUAAGCUGGAGGUGUCUGGUAGGCUGCAUGUCAUGAGUAGGAGGUUCCACUAUGUGUUCUUGCAGCACCAUAUACUUCUCUUUUGUAGCAUUACUAUUUAUAGCACUAUUAAAUUACUGUCUCCAUAAUAAAUCUGUGAGCCUUAUGAAGGCAGAGAAUGUACAGUUUGCUCACCACAGCUUCUUUAGUACCUAGACACACUCCACUGAAUUAAUGUGUGUAUGUAUGAAUGAAUGGUUUAGUAGUUCAAUGUCUUAUAUUUUAGAGACUAUGGUAUUCACAUAUGUACAUUUUCAAACCAGUAUCUUAAGUCCUGAAAUAGUCCCCACUUAUGCAGUCAUAUUUUAAUUAUUUGAUUACAACUCUAAAUACAUUUGAGUUAUAAUAACUCAAAUGCAGAUAUCUCAGAAUGCUAAUAAUUAUAUUAAAUUUUCUUAAAUAUCAGACCUUGUGAACUACUUAAUAAAUCGGGAACAUAUAAAUUCCAGGGUUAUUGGAUUGCUUUCAGACUACUUCAUUUAGGCUAACUUAUUCAGCAAACUAUUUUAUUUUGCACCUCCUUUACACUAAUAGAGAUUAACAUAUCUUUAUAUUUUAACUUCUGUUUGGCCCCUUGUGUCAAACAUGACACACUGCAAAAUACUGGUAUGAUCCACCAGAUUUGUCAAAGGAUAGUUGAUAGUGCUUUCAACUGAACACACCCUUUGUAACUUUUAAUAAAGUGUAAUAACAUUUUACAUGCAGUAAGGCACCAUAGCCAUUGAAAACACAAUAUUCUUCCUAGGAUCACUGAUAUAAUAACACAUCCCUUUUCAGUUACUAAGAUUUUUGUAAUCAUCUCUUACAUUCUCGGUUAGAUAAAAACUUAAAUGCUGUUUGCCGAAUAAAAAAUUAUAUAUUGUUGAUAUUUCUCCAAUACAAGGAAUAAUUUAAAAUUACCAAUCUUUUUUCAAAAAUAGCAAUGCAAGUGGGGAAGUAAAUGUGGCCCUGAAUACAGAAUAGGUGAAAUCAUGUCAUUACUUUUUUUCAUAAUCAAAUGGCCCUGAAAAAAAUAAACUAAACACUCUUCACUGGUUAAUAUGAUUAAAUGAAGAUAAAACAGAGACACGAACAUCAACAAAGUUCUCUCAUUUCCUCUGAACCGGCAACAAAUAAAUAAAACACAGAGGUACAAAUGCUCAUGGAUACUUUGUACAAGAAGUUAGAAGAAUAGUAGUGGCUGUUUUAAGUGUAAAAGAGGGAGGAGAGAAACACAGGGAAAGGGAAAGGGAAAGUAAGAGGGAAGAAGGAGGAGGGAGCUGAGGCGUCUCCCGAGUUAUGAGCAGCCCUCUCUACAUAUGAGCAUCCAGACACACCCACGCCCACCGGAAACACCAGCCAGCCAGUCACACGGCUAGGGAAAAAGCGGAAAUGAACGGCUUUUAUGGAGCUAUUACUUCCAGGAUGUAUAAUGCAUUGUGAAUAAGCUCAGCCUGCACAAGAGCAUCCCUGAUCAUGCAGAACUGAGUACAGAUCUCGAAGGGUGGAAGGACGGGGGUUAACCUCACAACUACCACAGCGCCUCUCCUCUCACAUCUCAUUUAGGAGUCUUUCUUCUCCAUAGUUGCUCCUUUCAGCUUCUUAGCCGCCAGUUCUGUCACCUUUCUCCCUCUGGAUUCAGGGAAAAGCCGUCAAAGCCUUCUAGACCCAUCUCUUUCAUUUCCUAUUCUUCCCUCGCCAACUCCAUGCAGAUUUUCUUCUUUCCAAAGAAAGGCAAUUUAAACUAUGUUUCCGUCUCCAGCUCUAAAUUUUGCAUUCUUC